CUUGUCCUAAAGCUGGGGGAUCAUCCUGUUACCCCAGCACCUGCUACAUACUUGGUGCACGUGGGGACCACUGCAGCAGCACGCAGUUCUCAGCGGAACUGUUUCAGUCUCUCCUCAUGACCACAUUACCUCAAAGUCCCACCUCAAUAGUGUGACACCAGCAAAUUCCAACUGGAGUUUUGGAGAGGACAAACCAUACUCAGACUACAGCCGACUGACUGGGGGUUGGGAGAGACUGGGAAGGCACAAGGAGAAUGACAAAACUGGCUCUAUAGAGAGAAGACACAGAGUGUCUGCCAGAUAGGAAGAGCUGAGCCAGGGCAAGAAGCCUGGGCACAGGUGGGUCACAAAGCCAGCGUAUACACUUGCUAGUGAGUGGGGAAAGCCGCAUAAGCCCAGAGAGCUUUAUAACCUAAACUUAUAAUCCUGCCUCCAGACAAGACGAAGCUCCCCAAAAGAAAGUCACCCUGACAAAUGUCACCCCUGAACACUACUGCAGCUAAGGCCCUGAGGGGACUAACUGCUGCCUGCAGAUAGCUACUGUCCCACCGAACACUCCUCUGCCUCACAGGAUGCCCCCCAGCUCCCUGCAGGGCAGUUUCAUCAAGGUUCCUCCUCUGAAUAACUCCAUUUCUAAAAUGCCUAAUUUUGAAGACCCUCUGACGUUUACAAAGAGGCUAUUUACUCUAGAGACAAACAACUGUUUGCCUCUUGCCCUGGACAGAUCAGUGGCUGGCAGCCUGUUGGGGGGGGCUCCAUGGGUCGUUCUGACAUAGCUGAGAAGGGAAGCCAGCUCCCAACCUCUGCCCUUGCCACCAGCCUCCUCUACACUCUGACUCAGAGGGGUCAAGAUGCUGCAGUCAGGACCUCACCUAAGCCGCUGCACACACUCCAGGGCGGAAGCUUGUAAGGGGUGGUGUAGCUGUGGAACACACUGACGUCAUGAGGAGCCAGGAACUCCACAAACUUGGCAUCACUGAAGGCGUCCUUCUUACAGUGAAAGAUGGAGGCCACUUGGUUAGAGAUGUACAGGAUCUUCCCAGAAACCAGGGACACAGCCACAGCAAACAUAUCCUGGAAAUGGAGAGUAUGAUCGGGUGACUAUACUCACCAUGGACUAUAAUAUAGCACUAAGGCUGGUAGGAGCAUCCUGACAUGAGAGUCAGGUUGCACCUGAACCUUCCCAAUCCCAUCCAGCCUGACUUUCCUGUUCCAAUGCAAAAGCCCAAUGCAACACUAGCAGGGAUACAUUGGGCUAGCCUUCCUAAGCACCUGUGCUCCCCUAGCCUGGCCGAGUGACCUUUGCCAGCUGGCCUCUUUCAGGUUCUUGGGGUGGCCUGCCCAUUUGAGCACAGGCCAGCCUCCUUGGAGGGAGCUGCUAAGUAGAAAGAGGUAGGGAGGCUCAAGGAGCUGGGCCGACGCAAGUUCAGCACUGCUCUCAUACAUGCUGGGUCUUCACAAAUUAUUGUCUGUUCUAGUUGGGAAUCCGGGGGUUGGAGGGUCUCUCCUCUCCCAGACCCUUAGAUGACGACAUUUAGAAAUAUGGGCUUUGGACCCAGACUUUACUACUAAAUCUGUCUCUUCAUCCUGAGGCUACAAAAAGCAGGAGCAACAAGUUCUAACACAGCUGGGUUUCUCUGGCACUGGGAGCUAUGAGUCAGAGUCGGCCAGAGAUGAAGACUUCACUCGAGAAUCACCAACUUCGUGAUUUUAUUCAGAGAUCCGCCUCCUGACAUUGGACCAGCUGCCUUACCCAAGGGAGAACUCGUGCCCUGUCAAAACACUCACCGCGUUCUUCACGAUAUACUCGGAGGUAAUGCCCUCAACCUGCUCCAUGCUGUAGGAAGGCACAUCCACACUGCAGGGCUGGCUCUCACUGGACAUUAGCAGCUGGUAGUACUCCUCAUUAGCUAUAAGAGAAGCGACACCCAUGUUCAGCAGAUGGGGCCCACACGACAGCAUACUGUCACUGGCCCCUGCAGGUGGGGUCCGUUUUUCUCAAGUGAACAAUUGGGAUGAGAUAGAACUUUGAGUGGGGAGCACAGUUUCUCUGGCACACCAGGCCUUUGUUAGGAAUUUUAAAACUCAUAAAUACAUUACUUUAAGUCAUAAGGGUGCACAGGUCCCUGAAGCGUGACAUAAGCACAAUGGUCAUACUUAGGAUCCACAGAAGCAUCCCAGCCACCUGUGCUUUGGGGUGGUCCCUUUAGAAACUUCCACGCAGGCAGGAUCGACUGCUUGAAAGAGGAACAGGUCCCAGAAGCCACAUUGGAAAGAAAGUGCUGUGAGCAGCAUCUACAAAUACUCCGGCCGCUCAUCUGAGUUUGUAUCUGGUGAGAUUCUGGCAGCUCAGGCCACAGCUGCUCUCACUGCAUACGGAAUCAAUGCAGUCGGUCCUGCCUCUAAAGCUCCACCAAGCUGCCCUUAGGUAGACGGAACCUAGGGUGGCUGUGUCCUGGAGUUUGACCUUGGGAUCCAGCCAAGCCUGUGUCCCUGCAGCGUGAUGAUGAGGUCUUUGGACUCGUGGCUGGGGCUUAUCUGAUGUUGAUCUCUCCGCCUUCACAGACUGGUAAGUUUCUGAGCAUGCUCUCUGCUGGAAAGCUUAGGAACAUUCUUGAUUUGGCAGAACUCCCAAGUUCCGAAGUUACUGUGGCCAAGCACGCAAACCAAUAGUCCCUGGAGGGUGAGCUGCUUCCAGGUCAGACUGAUUCACAUAGCUGCUCUUUCCAGAGAGCAGGGUCUUCCUUAGGCACAGCCAUUAAUACCAGCAACCUGCCUACUGACAGAGAGCCAUCCAGAUACUCAACAGGAGACUGUCUGAAGGGCAAGCUCAUACCUAGACUGCCGGCCACAAGCCUGGCCUACAUGCUUAAUGGCUUCAAGACAGAUGGCAAUGCUUACAGCAAAGCCCACGCUGCCUAGAUUGCAGCCUUUUGGCUUUGUCUACUUUGAUGUGUAUUUGUAACAUGUAGUACUCAGCCCUCAUCGCAUGUAUGUGACUGUGAUCAAAGGCACAGUCAUGCAGUGGGGAGGUGUUCUCACAAGUGCCACACAUGGGUGACAUGGUGGAGAGGGUCCUGCUUUCCACAUCACUUGCCAUGGCACCUGUCUUCCGUGCCCCAAUGGGGUGUUUGCCUCUAUCUGUUUACUGCAAGUCCCAGCAUAUAGCUAGGGACAUCCACCACCAUCAGUGGCUGGAAAGAAAAGGGACUAAAUACUUAGCACCCUGAGCCAGGGCUUUAUGAAGGCACUUUCUCCCCAGCAGAGCACCUGCAGAGCUCGCUCACCCCUGUGCCUAGCAACUGACUAAACACGCCUUUCUGCCAAUGCCUACAGCUGGACUAUCCUGGAAAGAUCUACCCUGGGGACUGAGGCUGAGUCUGGGAGAUGGACUACCUGCUUUCUGCUUGGGUAGUGUUCCCUUCUUGUCUGGGAGUCAAGAACAACUGUAACUGCCCGAGCCAGGACAUGGGGGAAGCUGAUCUGUGCAGAUCCUGGGCAGGAGCAAUGAAGGAGGACUGAGUCUACCGGGGGUGCUAGAGACCCAUUGCCUAACUCAUCAGGAAAGGACCCGAGCUCUUUUUCAGGUUCUUACUCCGUAGCCCCAGUCUUCUAGCUCACGAGCCAGUCAAAAUGCUCUACCAUAGUCUUCUUAAAGACCAAACAAGCAAUCAGCAGCAGGACUCUUGGUGGACAGAGAUGUCCCUGAUUGUAUAUGCAUGAUGGUAAGGGCUGUCCUGUGACUGAACUUGAGUGACGGGUGGUGUUGCCGUGUGCCCUGUUGCCUUCUUUCUUGGUUGAAAUAACCAGCAGGGCAGAAAAUGUUUUGUGGGUAAACAUUUUUAAAUCAACGGGAAAUGAGUCAUUUGAGUUAUGUUCAUGAAUUAAGAAGUGCCUGGGUGAGCAGGCUGGAGAGAUGAUGCGGUGGCUAAGAGGACCAGGGUUCUAUUCCCGGCACCCACAUAGUAGCACACAACUGUUUGUAAUUCCAGUUCUGUGGGAUUUGGUGCCCUCUUCUGGCUUCCACUGGCACUGCAAACAUUUGGUACAUAUACAUAUGUUCAGGUACACACAUUAACAUACAUACAUACAUACAUACAUACAUACAUACAUACAUACAUACACACACACACACAGUACCUGGGAUUUAGUAGAGUGCUUGCCUAGCAGGCAUGAAGCCUUAAGCUAGAUUCCCCAACAGCACAUAAAACCAGAUAUGGUGGUACACACCUAUAGUCCUAGUAUUUAAAAGGUGGAGGCGAAAGGAUGUAGAGGUUCAAGGUCAUCCUCAGUUACCCAGCAGGCUUAGCGAGUUAUGGUCAGCCUGGGCUACCUGAGAUCCUGAGUGCUGAGAGCUAGCGACCCCCUUUGCUUCCUUUCUCAGGCUACAGGUUGAAGGUAGCCAAGAGCUCAGGAAUAUUCUACUUCAAUCUCCUUCUCACCCACACAGCUCAUGGCACUGUGUGGCCAUCUUUCUGAACUCACAGUCCCAAACACAUGCCAGGGCCUGGACUAUACUAAACUUCUGAAAAUGACCUGAUCAUACUCAGUACACGAGGCAUCCGGUCCCCUGGUUUUCUACCUAUUUUUGGUUUUGCCUCUAAAAGUUGCAGUUCGAUAGAAAACUGCAAUGAGCCAUGGUUCUCAACCAGCUUGAGCAUCAUCAAAUCUUUAUUGCUGCCUUCUGCCAUUUCUGGGAUGAGUCUUUGAAAGCUGUGAUUAUUUGGAAGAUAGUUUGGGGCAUUUAAGAUGUGUUAAGAUGGCUGGUGAGAUGGCUCAGAGGGUAAGGGCUUUGUUGUGCAAGUCUGGAGACCCAAGUUCAAUCUCUGGAACCUACAUGAAGACAGAAGAAGAUAAUAACCCUGACUUUACAUGGUUGUCCUCUGACUGCCACACAUGCACACACACAUGCGUAUGCAAAAAGCUAGCAAAAACAAACCAACCAACCAAAACCUUGUUUCUAUGGGUUUGAACAGACGUGCAAAGUAGACGUACCCUUCACCUGCUUCACGCUCCGCAGGGCAUACUUCAAGGUUGCCAGCGUGCUGGCCUUCCCCUUGGCCUUCUUGUCUGCAGGGAGGUGGACCUUCAGCUCCUUCAGGGUCCUUAUCAGUUCUUUGUGUGCGUCAGCUUUGGCAGACUGCUCACUACUGUGGAAUUUAAAGUGGUGGGGGGGGGAUCAAAUGUGAGCCUUCUAAAAAGAGCGGUGGGGGCAGGGACAGCCAGCACCCCUGGCCUCCCUCACUGUGGGCCAGCACCUUCUCCGUGAAGUUACUAAUGAGGUCUAUAGACACGGAAGCCGAUGCUCCUCCAGGAGACCACAGACUGAUAAGAAUCCCUGUUCUCACCCAGAGAGAGAAGCCUUCCAACUAGAUCCUUAUCCUGGGGCCAGGCUGGACCACAUUUAGGAGGGCUGUUGGUCAACCCCGGUACAGUGGUGUAGGCUUCACCACAGGGUUCUUCCUUCCCUAGCCCAGGCAAAGGGACAAGGAUGGUAUGAAGGACAGAGAAAGAGCCCCUGGAGUCAUGAGCAUGGGUCAGGAGAACAGACUCGAGCAAAGGGGACUCUUAGGAAGGAAUCCCAGCGAGGAUAUCGAGCAGAGGAAGACAGGCCCGAUAACAAGGAAUUGCUGAUGUAAAUGGCUUGUGUCAAGGAGAAGGUAUCUAAAGAAUGAUGGGUCAGGUCCCUGAGACUUCAAUGGCCAAGUGCCCACAUGCCUGGGAAAGCGGACUUUGCCCCGAAAACUGAUAAAAAAAAAAAAUGUCUGUGGAUGCACAGAUAAUUUGUUGCAAAAGGGUGAGAAGGUUCCUGCUGCAUACACAGGGCUGAGGCAAGGCUGCCUAGGGUGCAGCUAGGCGGGAACCGGGUCCCCCAAGAACAACCAGGACUCAGAAGUACAGUGCCCGUGUCGGUGUCACACUAACCGGCUGCUCAGACCAACAGAUUUAUCAGAGCUAACGGGGUCACAUGACUUCCAAAUGCAGCCUGAGAGGAAGUCCUGCAGCUCCUUGGUAGAGCAUGAGGUGGGGGCUGUCUGCGGUGGGCUCCACAUCACUAAAAGGGCAUGAGGUGAGAGGUAUGGUCUGUGGUGGGUCUCACCUGCAGCCGCUCGUGGAGGGGUUGUGCUCUGCCUCUGUCAUCAUGAGUCUGAAGGCAUCAUCAGGGCUGCAAGGGAAGAUAGAUAGAUAAGAUCUCCACACGCCUCUUCCCCCAACCAGCCGAUAAAACUGACCAGGGACAUCACACCAGAGAUUUUAAAGAAAAUAUUACCGUAUGCUGGGUGGUGGCUUUGGGACAAAGGACUUGCCUGGAGUGCCUGAGACCCAUAGUAUGGCCUCCAUACUUCCCCUCAAAAUAAAAGUCAGAGCUGGAGAAUCAGCUCAAUGGUGAAGAGAAGCACCCACACGGCUGCUUACACCCAUCUGUAACUCACAGUUCCAGGGGAUCCAAUGCCCUCUUCUGUCCCCUAUGGUCACCAAACAUGCAAGUGGUGCACCGACAUACAUACAGGCAAAACACCCAUAUACUUUAAAGUAAAAAUUUAAAAAAGGAAAAGUCAUGUUAAAACUGAAACAUAAGAGCUUCAGCUAUUAGGAGACUUGAACACUGAGAGACAGAAAUGAAAAGGAAUAUUCUGUGAUCGAAUGCAUGUGUGUGAGCAGGCUCCUCCGAGGUCUUACUGGACUGUCUGUUAAGUGCAUCAGAUACAAAAAUGCAAAGAUGACGUGGUAUCGUUAUUUGGAAGGACAAAGUACAAUAAAUACCAUCUACAGGAUUAAGAAGUACUGCCAUCCUGCAAGUCCUGGUACUUGCUGCUUGAAGACGGGCGACAAACUAUGGAGGGAGCCACCCGUGUCCUGUGUGCGAGGGCCUGGCCUGAGGCUGACCUACCUGGGGUGACAUUAAGCAGUGGGGUCCAAAAACAACUCCAUCACAACAUGGCAUGUGCUACAGAGAAGCUGGGGGCAGCCGGGUCUCCUGGAGAGGUAAUACUGUUGGGUGAGGGGUGAAGAGGCCUCUAUGCCAUGGAGCGCUCCAGGUGCUAGGGGCUCCGGCGCUGCAGGGAGCCUGGCAUUGGAAUAAGAUGGUGUAAGCGGGAAGGAGACUCAAGCUUACCCUGAGUCGUCAGGGGCCCCUGAAGUGCCUAAGCAUCAAAGUCAUGGCGUGGUUUACAUUGGGUCGGAUCCCAUGGCCACACUAAAUAGAAACCUGUGUGCUUAGGGAUAGGUGGGCAGAAACAGCUAACAUCCCACUGCUAAGAAGGCUUCCACAGAACUCUGAACCCCAUAAAAGAUCACAGACUUAGUGAUGGGGAAGGGUGGGCAUAUCACCAGAUAGGAGGCCAUAACUCAAGGGUAAGAGACUGUUAGAUGUUGCUGGGAGGAAAAGGGAGGGCCAGGGACCCUGGAAGGAAGCAGAUGUCACUUAAGCUGAGUCGGGUCACAUUAAGUUUAUGCAAACAGCUACAAGCUGUUAAGACUGGGCCUGGGAGAGUUCGCCACAGCCCAAGGUGGUAGGGAAGAAGAAGGAGCUGAGGAAACCCGGACCACAGCAGGCCAAGGAAGACACGCCUGGCUGCUCUCUCCUCCUGACCUCUACUCUGCCAAGCACAUGAGGAAGUUGGAGGACAGGGGGCUUGCUGGCCCUUGCUAGGAGGCCAAGUGUCAGCAGUAGGUUCUCUGAGAGCAUCCUAAAAGGCACAAUACCCCCACAGGGUUCCUUGCAGUCAGGAAAACACCAGUUGUCAAUGGAAGGCUGACACACAUAGCGCAGGUCACACUACAACCACCGCAAGCGCUGCAUGAAGGAUUCCAUGCCGCCGCCGAGGUGAUGGGGUAGGACACUCACCCAGGGCUGCAUAAGGUUGAAUAACAGCCAGCUCCACACUGGCCUGACCCAGGAUGCUCUGGUGGGUCCUGUAUCCAUGCUAAGCUUAGAGGCUUCUCUGUGCUGACAUGGCCCACCAUGGCACUGCCUGUCUGCAGCAUGUGCUCACCCUUCCCACAGUGGACAAGGACAGGGAUGCCUUUUAGACAGCCCUCCAUCCCAUUCUUCCCUCAUUCAUGUGAAACGACCAAGGAUUUAAAACUGCUGGUGAAACAGUGUGGUUUUCUGCAGCCCAGGAAAGCUCCAAGGGUUUCAACUGUUUGCCACCAGUUACGGGAACAAUAAAUAGUGUACCAGGGACGGCACUAGGGUCUCACACCCUGCCCAGCUGUUCCAGGCCCUAAGGAAGAGGACCAAGCACUACAGAUCACCCCCACUUGUGGGACAGUGGGACAUCUUCCCAGUAGCCAUUGGGAAGACUCUAGCAGACAGACUGGGGCAGAACAGCUUGAGGCUCACACCAAGAAAAUGGCCACAUAGGCAGGAAACAAAGCAGGCCCCACAUCCAUUCAAAACCCUGACGAUGGCACCAUAAGGCCCAACAGGAUCCUUUAUCUAGGACCUGCCCAGGUCUUACCCACUGAGGGACUGACUCCAAGGAGAUGAGGGCCACACAGAAGCCAGCCACGUUGUUUCUGGGAACAUGUUUCUUGUCAUGAGGGAUGAGGCCCUGUUUGUCCACAAUUAACAAACAAAAGCCAAAGUGGGGCCUUCGACAAGGCUCCAACGAAGAAGCACUGCCAUCAGCAGUGAGGGAAGACCAACCCAGGACAGAUGGACAGAUGGUACCUACUCUUCCUCAUGCACAGAAAGUCUACAGGAGAUAGGUUUGAUGAAACAAAUGACAAGAACUGAGAUAAUGCCACAGGCCAAGACAAAAAACAUGACAUCAGAACCAAAAAAAAAAAAGACACAUAUCAGUCAAAAAGGAAGAAAUAUCUUUGUAUCUUUGGUCACAGGGGCGGGGGGAGAUGCCUGAGAAAGUGACUUUCUGUUGUUGCUGUUUUUGGUAAAAUAAAGUCUUUCUAUGUAGAUCAGAACAGUCUUGAACUUGUAAUCCUCCUGCCUCAGCUUGCUACAUGCUGGGACUACAGAGAUUGCAGGUGUGCACACCACACCUGUCUAAGAAGGUGACAUUACCUAAGAGGAAGAAAGACCAAUGGGAAAGUGGCCAUUUUCGUGCCGGGGGAAAAAGCCUCAGAACACCGAGAUGGGCGGGCUUGAAUCUGCCGAUCUGUGUACACCCUGGGUACCAUGUACUACAAACCUAGAAGCCCCAGUUAAAACUAUGUUUUCAAGAGUGAAGAAAGCGGUACUGGUAUCCAUCAA